rnacentral:misc_RNA from 1 species
CCAGUGAAGUGCCUGCGCCCUCGUGGCCAGGUGCCCACCCACCCGUGUUUACAUACUCUUGUUGCUUUGGCAGGCCGUGGCCUCCACUGCGGGCUCUGCUCGUACGUGCCUGCCAGAGGACCAAACUCUGAAUGUUAGUGAUGUCUGAGUACUAUAUAAUAGUUA